rnacentral:rRNA from 1 species
CCUACGGGCGGCUGCAGUGGGGAAUAUUGGACAAUGGGGGCAACCCUGAUCCAGCCAUGCCGCGUGUGUGAAGAAGGCCCUCGGGUUGUAAAGCACUUUCAGUGAGGAAGAACGCCUGGUGGUUAAUACCCAUCAGGAAAGACAUCACUCACAGAAGAAGCACCGGCUAACUCCGUGCCAGCAGCCGCGGUAAUACGGAGGGUGCGAGCGUUAAUCGGAAUUACUGGGCGUAAAGCGCGCGUAGGUGGCUUGAUAAGCCGGUUGUGAAAGCCCCGGGCUCAACCUGGGAACGGCAUCCGGAACUGUCAAGCUAGAGUGCAGGAGAGGAAGGUAGAAUUCCCGGUGUAGCGGUGAAAUGCGUAGAGAUCGGGAGGAAUACCAGUGGCGAAGGCGGCCUUCUGGACUGACACUGACACUGAGGUGCGAAAGCGUGGGUAGCAAACAGGAUUAGAUACCCGGGUAGUC